AUGAGUUUUUUUUGAUUUAUUAUUUCGUUUAGGGUUUGUGUAGUAAGGAGGAGAGGGAUGUGGUAUAAAACGAAAGAUUCGUGUUAUAGGAGGUUAAGUAUUUUGUUAGGGAAUUUUUUUUAAAAGAGUUGGUUGUAGGGGAGAAGUUAGUAGUGGAGUAGUGAAUUAGUAUAGUGGAGUAGAAGGAUUAUUUGGAGGAAGUUUGUGAAAUUGUUGGAAUGAU
rnacentral:misc_RNA from 1 species